ACCCUAAUUGAAGCCUUAAUUGAAAUCUUAACGAAUCUUAACUAAAUCCUAGGUCAAAUCCUAAUGAAAUCCUAAAUCUUAAACAAAUCCUAAUAAAAUCUUAAAUCUUAGACUAAUCCUAAUAAAAUCCUAGUAAAAUCUUAAUCAAAUCUUAAAAAAAUCCUAAUCAAACUCUAAUCAAAUUUAGACAAAAUCCUAAAUCCUAACCAUAUUAUUUA
rnacentral:lncRNA from 1 species